UACGAAGGGGGCUAGCGUUGUUCGGAAUUACUGGGCGUAAAGCGCACGUAGGCGGAUUGUUAAGUUAGGGGUGAAAUCCCAGGGCUCAACCCUGGAACUGCCUUUAAUACUGGCAAUCUCGAGUCCGAGAGAGGUGAGUGGAAUUCCGAGUGUAGAGGUGAAAUUCGUAGAGAUGCGGAGGAACACCAGUGGCGAAGGCGGCUCACUGGCUCGAUACUGACGCUGAGGUGCGCAAGCGUGGGGACCAAACAGG
rnacentral:rRNA from 1 species